rnacentral:rRNA from 1 species
GACAGAGGGUGCAAACGUUGCUCGGAAUUACUGGGCGUAAAGCGCGUGUAGGCGGGCCGAUAAGUCAGACGUGAAAUCCCUGAGCUCAACUCAGGAACUGCGUUUGAAACUGCCGGUCUAGAGUGGUGGAGAGGGAAGCGGAAUUCCUGGUGUAGAGGUGAAAUUCGUAGAUAUCAGGAGGAACACCGGUGGCGAAGGCGACUUCCUGGACACCAACUGACGCUGAGACGCGAAAGCGUGGGGAGCAAACAGG